rnacentral:rRNA from 1 species
GUGAGGAAUAUUGCGCAAUGGAGGCAACUCUGACGCAGCCAUGCCGCGUGCAGGAAGAAGGCGCUACGCGUUGUAAACUGCUUUUAACCGGGAAGAAACCCCAGGACGUGUCCUGGGUUGACGGUACCGGAGGAAUAAGCACCGGCUAACUUCGUGCCAGCAGCCGCGGUAAUACGAAGGGUGCAAGCGUUAUCCGGAUUCAUUGGGUUGAAAGGGUGCGUAGGCGGAGCGUUAAGUCAGUGGUGAAAGCCUGCAGCUUAACUGUAGAAUUGCCAUUGAUACUGGCGCUCUUGAGUGCGCUUGAAGUGGGCGGAAUGUGCCGUGUAGCGGUGAAAUGCUUAGAUAUGGCACAGAACACCAAUUGCGAAGGCAGCUCACUAAGGCGAUACUGACGCUGAGGCACGAAAGCGUGGGGAUCGAACAGGAUUAGAUACCCUGGUAGUCC